rnacentral:rRNA from 1 species
AGAUAAGAAGUUACUUCGGUACACUGGAUACAGGUGGUGCAUGGUUGUCGUCAGCUCGUGUCGUGAGAUGUUGGGUUAAGUCCCGCAACGAGCGCAACCCCUAUUGUUAGUUGCCAUCAUUAAGUUGGGCACUCUAGCGAGACUGCCGGUAAUAAACCGGAGGAAGGUGGGGAUGACGUCAAAUCAUCAUGCCCCUUAUGACCUGGGCUACACACGUGCUACAAUGGUUGGUACAACGAGUCGCAAGCUGGUGACAGCAAGCUAAUCUCUUAAAGCCAAUCUCAGUUCGGAUUGUAGGCUGCAACUCGCCUACAUGAAGUCGGAAUCGCUAGUAAUCGCGGAUCAGCACGCCGCGGUGAAUACGUUCCCGGGCCUUGUACACACCGCCCGUCACACCACGAGAGUUUGUAAUACCCAAAGCCGGUGAGCUAACCUUUAUGGAGGCAGCCGUCUAAGGUAGGAUAGAUGAUUGGGGUGAAGUCGUAACAAGGUAGCCGUAG